rnacentral:rRNA from 1 species
UACAGAGGUCUCAAGCGUUUGUUCGGAUUCAUUGGGGCGUAAAGGGUGCGUAGGCGGCGCGGUAAGUCCGGAUGUGAAAUCUCGGAGCUUAACUCCGAAACUGCAUUCGAUACUGCCGUGCUUGAGGACUGGGAGAGGAGACUGGAAUUUACGGUGUAGCGGUGAAAUGCGUAGAUAUCGUAAGGGAAGACCAGUGGCGAAGGCGGGUCUCUGGACAGUUCCGUGACGCUGAGGCAACGAAGGCCCAGGGGAGCAAACGGG